UACGAAGGGUGCAAGCGUUAAUCGGAGUUACUGGGCGUAAAGCGCGCGCAGGCGGUCCGCGAGGUGUCACGUGAAAGCCCCGGGCUCAACUCGGGAGGGUCGUGGCAAACCGGCGGACUUGAGGCCGGUAGAGGUGGGUGGAACUCCUGGUGGAGUGGUGAAAUGCGUAGAGAUCAGGAAGAACACCCGUGGCGAAGGCGGCCCACUGGGCCGGAACUGACGCUGAGGCGCGAAGGCGUGGGGAGCGAACGGG
rnacentral:rRNA from 1 species